UUCUUAUUCCUAAUAUAUUUAGUACUUACAUGCAAAUUGUCGUCAAGAUAUGGUUGAAAUAUUGCCGAUGUGACCUGAAUUUUAACUCACUUCCU